rnacentral:tRNA from 1 species
UGAGCAUGGCAUAGUGGUUUGAGUGUUGGACUCUGACUCUAGAGGCCAGGGUUUGAUUCCCUGCUCAG